rnacentral:rRNA from 1 species
GGGCAGUGCGCUGCUAUACAUGCAGUCGACGCACAGCGAAAGGUGCUUGCACCUUUCAAGUGAGUGGCGAACGGGUGAGUAACACGUGGACAACCUGCCUCAAGGCUGGGGAUAACAUUUGGAAACAGAUGCUAAUACCGAAUAAAACUUAGUGUCGCAUGACACAAAGUUAAAAGGCGCUUCGGCGUCACCUAGAGAUGGAUCCGCGGUGCAUUAGUUAGUUGGUGGGGUAAAGGCCUACCAAGACAAUGAUGCAUAGCCGAGUUGAGAGACUGAUCGGCCACAUUGGGACUGAGACACGGCCCAAACUCCUACGGGAGGCUGCAGUAGGGAAUCUUCCACAAUGGGCGAAAGCCUGAUGGAGCAACGCCGCGUGUGUGAUGAAGGCUUUCGGGUCGUAAAGCACUGUUGUAUGGGAAGAACAGCUAGAAUAGGAAAUGAUUUUAGUUUGACGGUACCAUACCAGAAAGGGACGGCUAAAUACGUGCCAGCAGCCGCGGUAAUACGUAUGUCCCGAGCGUUAUCCGGAUUUAUUGGGCGUAAAGCGAGCGCAGACGGUUUAUUAAGUCUGAUGUGAAAGCCCGGAGCUCAACUCCGGAAUGGCAUUGGAAACUGGUUAACUUGAGUGCAGUAGAGGUAAGUGGAACUCCAUGUGUAGCGGUGGAAUGCGUAGAUAUAUGGAAGAACACCAGUGGCGAAGGCGGCUUACUGGACUGCAACUGACGUUGAGGCUCGAAAGUGUGGGUAGCAAACAGGAUUAGAUACCCUGGUAGUCCACACCGUAAACGAUGAACACUAGGUGUUAGGAGGUUUCCGCCUCUUAGUGCCGAAGCUAACGCAUUAAGUGUUCCGCCUGGGGAGUACGACCGCAAGGUUGAAACUCAAAGGAAUUGACGGGGACCCGCACAAGCGGUGGAGCAUGUGGUUUAAUUCGAAGCAACGCGAAGAACCUUACCAGGUCUUGACAUCCUUUGAAGCUUUUAGAGAUAGAAGUGUUCUCUUCGGAGACAAAGUGACAGGUGGUGCAUGGUCGUCGUCAGCUCGUGUCGUGAAGAUGUUGGGUUAAGUCCCGCAACGAGCGCA